GGCUCAAGCAAUCCCUCCACCUCAGCCUCCCAGAUAUCUGUAUUUUAGUGGACUGAAUCUCUCAGCCUGGCAUUCAAGGCCAGUCACAGUGUGACAUUCCAGCCUCCCAGUUAGAGCUCAGCUAACAACAAGCCAAGUCAGAAAGCUGCUCUGCAAGACUGAUUUGCCCAUUAUACUUCCCAAAUACCCUGCCUUCCUUUCCUGCUUCUGCUUUUGCCACACUGUUUUGGCUUUAGCAGGACAAACCAAGGAAUAAUAAAAUAGCCUGUCUUGUGA
rnacentral:lncRNA from 1 species